rfam:Leptosomus discolor contig7805, whole genome shotgun sequence.
UAGAUGGAAGCCUGUUGGUUUAGGCAUUUAGCUGUUAACUAAAAAUUUAUGGGAUUGAAGCCCAUCUAUCUAG